UGAGCACCCUCAAAACGCGCGAAAUUCGGUAAAAUCAAACUUCACCAAACGAGUUGAUGCCAACACUAGGUUGUCACCUAACAUUAAACUAGUACGAAAUCAGCAACGAAACCAUUUUAACCCAUCCCUUGUGUCUGGUUCGCGAGUGUUCUUAUCGGCGACGCGCCGUCUGCUGUGUCUGGUGGUUCAUUUUUUGCGACACGUUUGUGUUGAGUACGCGUGCGUUGUGUUUGUGGUAGGGUUUUCAUAUGGUUCCAGCAUGGAUAGUUCAGCUAAAAAUAUAUCAAGAUUACAAAUUUUCCAUGAAUUUUUUUUUAUAAACGGAAAAUUUAUAAAAAACCCUGAUGUUCCGGAAACGUUGUGCUCGAGAUUAAAAGUUCCAAGAAGACGACGAUGACGAUAAAGACCAAGAAGAAGACGACGAUGACGACGAGGACCAAGAUAAUGACGAUUAGAUUAAGUUGUGAUGUUAUGUGAAUUAAAAAUUUAAGCCGUU